CCUACGGGAGGCAGCAGUGGGGAAUAUUGCACAAUGGGCGCAAGCCUGAUGCAGCAACGCCGCGUGAGGGACGACGGCCUUCGGGUUGUAAACCUCUUUUAGUAGGGAAGAAGCGAAAGUGACGGUACCUGCAGAAAAAGCACCGGCUAACUACGUGCCAGCAGCCGCGGUAAUACGUAGGGUGCAAGCGUUAUCCGGAAUUAUUGGGCGUAAAGAGCUCGUAGGCGGUUUGUCGCGUCUGCUGUGAAAACUGGAGGCUCAACCUCCAGCCUGCAGUGGGUACGGGCAGACUAGAGUGCGGUAGGGGAGAUUGGAAUUCCUGGUGUAGCGGUGGAAUGCGCAGAUAUCAGGAGGAACACCGAUGGCGAAGGCAGAUCUCUGGGCCGUAACUGACGCUGAGGAGCGAAAGCAUGGGGAGCGAACAGGAUUAGAUACCCUGGUAGUCCAUGCCGUAAACGUUGGGAACUAGAUGUAGGGACCAUUCCACGGUUUCUGUGUCGCAGCUACGCAUAACGUUACCCGUCCGUCGGGAGGUACGGCCGCGACGACGUAAACGUACAAGAAGUAGUAGACGNGNGAGAGCGACGACGACGACGACGGAGGAGAGG
rnacentral:rRNA from 1 species